rnacentral:tRNA from 1 species
AACGAUAUAGUUUAUUUAUAAAAUAUGUGCUCUGCAAGCCCAGGAUAGAGAGAAUUUCUUAUCGUUG